rnacentral:lncRNA from 1 species
GGCAUCUCGCUGGGCCUAAGGAUGCUGUUCAAAACCAGAUGAUUUUUUUCUUUCCUAAUGGACCAGAAUAGGUGGUGUGAGCACUGUCCUCCCAGCGUGACAUGAGAACAGCUCGGGCUGUUCCAGAGACUGGAGAUGGGGUCUGCUGACUGGUCAUGCUCCUUCACAGAUUUGAUCGGCUGGGCUGUCAAACGUUACAUCCUUGAGUGGACGAGGAUUGCAUAAUUCUGUAGGAUCAGCCCGGGAAGCGUUGUCCCGCCUGUAUCAGUGAUUGACAGAAGGCAGAGCAGAGAGAGGGCUGACCGUGCCUGUGAACACGUUUGAAGUUGCGGCGUUCCCAUUUUGUACAAGGGUUUAAAAGAGCGCCACCACCAUUUUCAUGAGCUUGGGAUGGUUGUUUCUGACAUCUGCACAGUUAUUUCAAGUCCAGGCUUCAAACUACAAUAACCUGCUUGUCUCAGCCUCCUGAGUACUGCGAUUAAACAUGCAUGACACCAACAUACAUGGGUCAAAGUCUAAACUGUCACUGGAAAAAUCAUCUGGAUCAUCUCACAGUGCUCCCGUGACUACGCAAUAUGACAAGGCUUGGGAAAGUGCUCGGUAAAUCUCAGAAGCUUCCCGUCUUCAUUCUGUCAGCACAUUUGAGCACGGACUGUGUGUCAGAAGCCAGGGGCAUUGUAUCUACAGUGUAAGAGGAUCUUGACUGGGAGGCCCCAGGGACCCUGUGAUGGAAAAGGCCUCCUCUCCAGGGCUGCUGGUCAG